CCUACGGUUGGCAGCAGUGAGGAAUAUUGGUCAAUGGGCGCGAGCCUGAACCAGCCAAGUAGCGUGAAGGAUGACUGCCCUACGGGUUUUAAACUUCUUUUAUAAGGGAAUAAAAUGUUCCACGUGUGCCUUUUUGUAUGUACUUUAUGAAUAAGGAUCGGCUAACUCCGUGCCAGCAGCCGCGGUAAUACUGAGGAUCCGAGCGUUAUCCGGAUUUAUUGGGUUUAAAGGGAGCGUAGAUGGGUUGUUAAGUCAGUUGUGAAUGUUUGCGGCUCAAACGGAAAAUUGCAAUUGAUACUGGCAGUCUUGAGUACAGUAGAGGUGGGCGGAAUUCGUGGGGUAGCGGUGAAAUGCUUAGAUAUCACGAAGAACUCCGAUUGCGAAGGCAGCUGACUAAACUGCAACUGACAUUGAUGCUCGAAAGUGUGGGUAUCAAACAGGAUUAGAUACCCGGGUAGUC
rnacentral:rRNA from 1 species